rnacentral:rRNA from 1 species
AAGCAUAUCAAUAAGCGGAGGAAAAGAAACCAACAGGGAUUGCCCUAGUAACGGCGAGUGAAGCGGCAACAGCUCAAAUUUGAAAUCUGGCCUUCGGGUCCGAGUUGUAAUUUGUAGAGGAUGCUUUUGGCGCGGUGCCUUCCGAGUUCCCUGGAACGGGACGCCUUAGAGGGUGAGAGCCCCGUACGGUUGGACACCAAGCCUCUGUAAAGCUCCUUCGACGAGUCGAGUAGUUUGGGAAUGCUGCUCUAAAUGGGAGGUAAAUUUCUUCUAAAGCUAAAUACCGGCCAGAGACCGAUAGCGCACAAGUAGAGUGAUCGAAAGAUGAAAAGCACUUUGAAAAGAGGGUUAAAUAGCACGUGAAAUUGUUGAAAGGGAAGCGUUUACGGCCAGACCUUUUCCUGGCGGAUCAUCUGGUGUUCUCACCAGUGCACUCCGCCAGGUUUAGGCCAGCAUCGGCUCCCGUAGGGGGAUAAAAGCAGUGGGAAAGUAGCUCCCUCGGGAGUGUUAUAGCCCGCUGCACAAUACCCUUACAGGGGCCGAGGACCGCGCUUUUGCAAGGAUGCUGGCGUAAUGGUCGUCAACGACC